rnacentral:rRNA from 1 species
UGGGGAAUCUUGCGCAAUGGGCGAAAGCCUGACGCAGCAACGCCGCGUGGGGGACGAAGGCCUUCGGGUUGUAAACCCCUUUCAGCAGGGACGAAAAUGACGGUACCUGCAGAAGAAGCCCCGGCCAACUACGUGCCAGCAGCCGCGGUAAUACGUAGGGGGCGAGCGUUGUCCGGAUUUAUUGGGCGUAAAGAGCUCGUAGGCGGUUUAGCAAGUCGGGUGUGAAAACUCCGGGCUCAACUCGGAGACGCCACUCGAUACUGCUAUGACUCGAGUCCGGUAGGGGAGUGCGGAAUUCCUGGUGUAGCGGUGAAAUGCGCAGAUAUCAGGAGGAACACCGGUGGCGAAGGCGGCACUCUGGGCCGGAACUGACGCUGAGGAGCGAAAGCGUGGGGAGCGAACAGG